GGCCCUGUCACAAUGAAACACCAGUUCUCGUACAAUCACCAAAGUUAAGCAACAUUGAGCCUGGUCAGUAUUUAGAAGGGUAACUGUUUGGGAAUGCCGGGUGCUGUAAG